rnacentral:rRNA from 1 species
ACAACGGAUCUCUUGGUUCUGGCAUCGAUGAAGAACGCAGCGAAAUGCGAUAAGUAAUGUGAAUUGCAGAAUUCAGUGAAUCAUCGAAUCUUUGAACGCACAUUGCGCCCAUUAGUAUUCUAGUGGGCAUGCCUGUUCGAGCGUCAUUUCAACCCUUAAGCCUAGCUUAGUGUUGGGAGACUGCCUAAUACGCAGCUCCUCAAAACCAGUGGCGGAGUCUGUUCGUGCUCUGAGCGUAGUAAUUUUUUAUCUCGCUUCUGCAAGCCGGCCAGACGACAGCCAUAAACCGCACCCUCUCGGGGGGCACUUUUUUAAUGGUUGACCUCGGAUCAGGUAGGAAUACCCGCUGAACUUAAGCAUAUCAAUAAGCGGAGGAAAAGAAACCAACAGGGAUUGCCCUAGUAACGGCGAGUGAAGCGGCAACAGCUCAAAUUUGAAAUCUGGCCUUCUGGGUCCGAAUUGUAAUUUGUAGAGGAUGCUUUUUGGUUAGGUACCCUUUUCGAGUUCCUUGGAACAGGA